CGAAUAUCAGCCUUCAGUGUAAUUAGACACGAACAGAAAAUCUCACAGAGCAGCCACAGAAUGACUGGGCUGAGAUGCGUGAUGACUUUACACAAGAUGCCAGAUAAUCUGUUUAUUACUGAAUUACAGACAAACCUUUUGAGAUACAGAAAUUUUUGAAGCCUUCUAUCUGAACUGUAACUUUCUGCAAUGUUCUUCACUCAUUUUACUCAUUAUUUCACAGUCUCUUAAAUUCAAAGGUCUACGUUAGGCUGGAGAGCUUUAUAUCCAAACUCUUAGCCUCCCUGGAGCAAGCAUCUGUGUCCCCAAAAAGUUCAAACAUUUCAGAUAGUUGAUCUUUGUAGUGCAAAAUUAGAAUGAGAUUUUUUUCCUUGUAUUUCACAAAUGAUGUUAUGACCAUAAUUCAGUUUAAAUGAGGAUUUUUGAGUCAAAUUAACUUCAGCAAGAUGGUCAGUGGAAGUCUAAGCAACACAAAAUAAGUAUUGCCAAUUCCUGCUGCAACAAAUAUCUCUGAAUUGGGAUAUCCACCACCCACACACAGUUCUGCCCAAUUUAUCAUCACCUGCUACUUGCUUCCAACUUGAAAAGGCAUAUGAUUUCAAAUUUCAGACAAUGAUCCUUUUCUACAUUAAUGAACAAUGAAUGGAUUACGGGGUCAAAAGUGAUUUCCGUAGUUGCUUGCCAUCAAACGGCUCUGCGCUGUUUCACAAGCAGAAAAGCUGGAAAUGAAUGCAAUCAAGAUCACAGCAGCAGCUGGUUCUAAAAACUCCAACGAAUGCUCGUGGAACAAUGUCACCUGCCCGAACAGCCCUGGAUGCACCUGCACCCUCAGUCACUGCCGCAGACUUUAGAUCAGCCUUCUUGAAAGUGAACCCAAGGAAAGCAACUGGCCCAGAUGGAGUCCCCAGCCAUGCACUGAAAUUCAGUGUGGACAGUUGGUGGGAGUAUUUGUUAACAUCUUUAACUUCUCCUUGCUACAAUUUGAAAUCCCCACCCGUUUCAAGAAGACCAUCAUCAUCCCAGUACCAAAGAGAACAGGUGCCUCAUGACUCCCACCCAGUGGCUCUGACCUCUGUAAUUAUGAAGUGCUUUGAGAGGCUAGUCAUGGCUCACAUCAACCCUAGCCUCCCAGCCUGCCAUGAUCCAUUGCAAUUUGCUCAUCGGCACAACGAGUUUAUAAUGGAUACAAUUUGUCUCGCCCUACACUCAUUCCUGAAGCAUCUGGAUAAUAAUGAUACUUAUGUCGAGCUUCUACUUACCGACUACAGCCCCAACAUCAACAUUGUAAUCCCAACCAAACUAACUUCCAAACUCCGAGAUUAAGGUCUUGGCUUCUCCCUCUGCAACUGGAUCAUUAGCUUCCUGCCCUACAAACCGGAAUUAAUUAAGAUAGACAACAGUACCUCCUCCACCAUAACACCAGCACCCCACCAGGAUGCAUACUCAUCCCUGUGUACUCCCUGUACACUCAUAACUGUGUGGCUAAAUGUUGUCUGAACACCAUCUACAAGUUCGUUGAUGACACCACUGUUUUAGGGCAGAUAUCAAACAAUGACGAGACAGAAUACAGGAAGGAGAUAGAAUGCUUGGUGUCACUGUGCAACAGUAACAAUCUCUCCCUCAAUGUCAGCAAAACUAAAAAGAGUUGAUCAUUGACCUCAAGAAGAGAGGAGGAGGACACACCCUACCUACAGCAAUGGAGCUAAGGUAGAGGGAGAUUACAAUGUUAAGUUCCUGGGAGUGACGAUAACCAACAUUCUGUCCUGCAAUACCCUGAUAUGCCGCUCAAGAAGGCACAACAAUGCCUCUUUUUCCUCAGGAGACUAAGAAAAUUCAGCAUGUCCACAAGGACCUUCAUCAACAUUUACAGAUGCACCACAGAAAGCAUUAAUUCUGGGUGCAUUAUAACUUGGUACAGCAACUGCUCUGCCCAGGAUUGUAAGAAACUACAUAAAGUUGUGAACACAGGCUAAAAUAUCAUGCAAGCCAACCUCCCAGCCAUGAAGUCCAUCUACAGUUCUCAAUGCUACAGAAAACCAGCCAACAAAGACCCCUACCAACACCAUUAUAAUCUCUUCCAACAUCUUCCUUCAGGCAGAAGAUACAAAAGUUUAAACACACGCAACAACAAAUUCAAGAACAGCUUCUUCCCUGCUGUUAUUAGACUGCUGAAUGGACCUCUCAAAUUGAAUGCUGAUCAUGCUUUUGUAUACGUCCUGAGCAACUGUAACUUUGUAUGCCUCACUCUGUUCACCCUACUUUUCACUGUAAUUA